UUUAAUAACCUAUUUCCAGGAACAAAUAAUAAAAAGGGAAAAACAAAACAAAUAAAUAAAAAGAAGUGAUUUAAGAAAAUAAUAUGAAUAACAUUAAUGGUGAGAUUAAGGGAAGCAAGUAAAAGAAAAUAAUAGCUUGAUGAUGACAGGAAUUAAAUAAGGUCAUUUUAGAUUUUAUAAAUAUAUAUUAAAUUUUGUUUUGCGAUUACAAAUUUAUAAUAAUAUAUUUUCAGGAAUAAAUAAAUAAAAUAAGAGAAAAAAACAAAGAAAAGAAAAGAAGUUAUUUAAGGAAAUAAUAUAAAUAGCAUUAAUGAUGAGAUUAAGGGAAGACAGUAAAAGAAAUUAAUAGCACUAAUGAUAGGAAUUAUAUAUGGUAAUUUUUUAUAUUUUAUAAAAUUUUAAGGUAAAUUGUUUUGUCUUUUAAAAUUAGGGAAAAUGUCAUUAAAAUAAAAUAAAUAUCAUGGAAUAAUAUUUUUUUAAGAGUAACUUCAUCUUUAAGCAAUGAUUAUGAUAAAAAAAAAAAGUAUAGAAAAUUCAAAAUAAUUGACAUAAAUAAAUAAAUAUCAAUGCUUGACUAAGAAGGGUGUCAUCAUAUUUUUUAUUUGAGGUAUUAUUACAUAUAAAUAUAAAUCUUUAGUAAAAGAAAUGGUCUGAAAAAUGACAAAUCAAAUUCUGUAAAUAUAUAUAUACAAUUCGUAUAAAGUUAUAAUAAGUAAUUUCUUGAAAUAAAUAUACAUUAAAUUUUAUUUUGCAAUUCUUAUUAAGUUAUAACAACAUAUUUCUAUGAAUUAAAAAAAAGAAGAAGGAAAAGAAGUGAUUUAAGGAAAUAAUAUAAAUAACAUUAAUGAUUAAAUUAAGGGAAGGAAGUAAAAAGAGUUAAUAGCACUAAUGAUGGUAGGAAUUAUAUAUGGUAUUUUUUAUAUUUUAUAAAAUUUAUCCAGUCUUUUAAAAUUUGGAAAUUCGUAUAAAGUUAUAAUAACUAAUUUCAUGAAAUAAAUUAAUAAUAAUAAAAAGAAGUGAUUUAAGAAAAUGAUAUAAAUUAUUAAUUAUAAAAUUAAGACAAGAAAGUAAAAGAGAUUUAUAGCAUUGAUGAUGAAAUGAAUUAAAUAUGACUGCCUUAUAUAUAUAUAUAUUCAAACAAACAAAAAAGGCAAAUCAAAUUCUGUAAAUUUUAUUUUGCAAUUUUGGUUAAGUUAUAAUAACUUAUUUUUAGGAAUAAAUAAAUAAAAUAAACAAAAAAAGGAAAAAAAGUGAUUUAAGGAAAUAAUAUAAAUAACAUUGAUGAUGAGAUUAAGGGAGUGAAGUAAGAGAAAUUAAUAGCAUACAGAAUCAAAUAUGAUAAUUUAAAAUUAGAAAAAAGCUAAAUAAAUAAAUAUUGAGGCAUAAUUUUUUUUGGGAGAAUAACGUCAUUGUUUAGUAAUUACUAGUAUAUGUACGCGCGGUUAGUUGAUAAAUGUAAUCGUAAAUACUAAUUUAUUGACAAUUUUAAAUUUAACUUAGUAUAAAAUGAUAUUGUAAAUUUUACAUGAGAGAAUGUUAUUAUUUAGCACUUUGAUAGAUUAUAAUAGAAUUCUUAUGCAAGUAAAUCGUUAUUUAAACUUAUUUCAUUAUUUAAAUUUGACAAUAAUAUUUAAUAUUAUUUCAUUUAUUUAUUUUAUAAAUUAUUCAAAAUCAUAAAUACUCUCACCACAUUCAUAUUAUUCCAUUGUCAUAAUAAUAAAGAUAUAAGAAAAUUUAAUCUUUAGAUUAAAAUAAAUAUAACUUAGAAAAGUUCUACAAUUAUAAUAAUGCUAAACAUAAAAUUUAAUUUAAAAAGUUUUAUCACUUAAAUAUCAAAUUGUAGGAAUAUUAUUCAAAAAUUUAAAUUUUGUAUUUCGAUUUUUCUAAACAAUCAUAUAUCAAUUAUAUGAUAUUAAAAAUAAUUAUAUAUUUAUAUGAUUUUUUAGUACUAUAUAAUUCUUUUAGUUGGAUGAUAUUGUUAUAAAUUUAUUUCCAAAAAUUAAUUAAUUUGGUUGCUUUCCAUCCAAAGUAUUUUUUUUUUUAUAUAUGAUAUGUUUUGCGCGAAUAUUAUGAGAAGACAAUUUUAAUAAAACUAAAUGUAAGAACGAAAAGUGUCAAUUUGACUUUUUUUGUUUACCAUUACUUGGCUUAAUGAGGAUCCUUUUUUCCCUUUCUUUUAAUAAUAUUUAAAAAAUAUAGAUAUUAAAAGAUAUAUAUAACUCUAAAUUAACCAACUAUAUUACAUAAUUCAUUUGUUUACUUAUAAACUUACUUGUUAACUUAAAUAAUUAAAAAUAUAUAUUUCUCAAUUGAAGUUUAAAGUAAUAAAAUUCGAAAUGCUAAAUAAUCUAAAGUAAAAUAAUAGAAAUAAAUUACUACUUUAAUCCAAACUAACUGACUAUAUUACAUAGUUUAUUUAUUUAUAACUUUUCUUUUCAACAUAGAAUUUAAAAUAUAAAUUGUUUUAUUGUAAAUUUAAUUUGUUUUUUUUUGUGAAAACAUCUUCAUUUAUUUUAAUUUUAUACUCUUUUUACAUUUUUCUUGUAAUUUUAUCCAUAAACGAUUUUAACUUAAUUUUUAAUUCUAUGAAACAAACUUAAAUUUAAAAUAAUUACAUUAAUUCUAAACUAACAAACUAAAAUAUAUAAUUUAUUUACAUAUAACUUUCUUCUCAACUUAGAGUUCACAAUUUAUAUUUUUUAUUGUAUGUUUAAAUUUUUUGUAAAAAUAGUUGCAUUUAUUUUUAUUUUAUCCUCUUUUUAAUAAUCUUUCUUGUAUUUUUAUCCAUGAACACUUUUAACUUAAUUUUUCAUUUUAUUCAGAAAAUUUAAAAUAAUUAUUAACAUAUUCCGUCAUUUUCAUAUAAUUUAUGCUAUUAUCAAUUUAAGGGUCUAUUAAAAAUAAUUUAACAUCUACACAUAUUUUUUUUCUUUUUGUGGACCCACUUUAUGAAAUAACACUAUGUAUAUUAUUAUUUGUAUUGUUACUUAAUGUUGAAUUCAUGCAUGUCUCUUUCUCUUUUCUAAACUAACAAACUAUAUUAUAUAAUUUAUUUAUUUAUAACUCUCUAUUCAAAUUAGAAUUCAAAAUUUAUAUUUUUUGUUUAAGUUUAAAUAUUUUUGCAAAAAUAACUGCAUUUAUUUUUAUUUAUCCUCUUUUUAUAUUUUUUUUCUUGUAAUUUUAUUCAAGAACGAUUCUAACUUAAUUUUUUAUUCCAUGUAGUAAAUUUAAAUUAAUAAUUAACAUAUCUCAUUACUCUCAUUUAGUUUAUGAUAUUAUCAAUUUAGUGUCUGCAUAUAUUGUUUUCCUAUUGUAGAUCCAAUUUAUGAAAUUAGAUCGAGUAUAUUGUUAUUUAUAUUAUCAAUUAAUGUUGAAUUUAUGUAUGUAGCUUUCUCUUCUUCUUUUUGGCUAGUACAGUAAGAGUAAUACUUAAUCAAUAUAAUUUACAAUGAUCAAGUUUGCUAUAAAAAAUUAUCUUAUCAUUCUAAGUAAUAUAGCUUAAUUAUGAUAAGUUACCUCAAGAUGACUUAGAAAAACCUCUCAUGACCUACCUGAUGGCCAGCGCCGAUGGAGGUCCACCAUUGACAGUGGUUGGCCCUCCUUUAUUAACUAAUCCUUCCGAGUUUCCAUUCCUAGGUGGGAAUAAUUCACAAACUUUGCAGGCACCUAAUCGCUCUUUUGACUUCGGAAAAAACUUUCUUUAUCAAUAUACUGUUUCUUUUACACACAUCUCCAUAAUCGAAAAUGGUAAUAGUUAGGAUUCAUUAAAAAAAUCGAGAACCCACUCAUGGGACAAGAAACCCUUCCCGCAUCAGGCACUAAUAAAUUUUUAACGUCUAAUUAGAUCGGGAAUCAUUCAAAUUAAGAACAAAAGCUCGUUGCUUUUUCUUUCCCUAUAAUUUAAUUGAAGCCGCAGCCUUAUCCAUUUAUUCAUUCGACCCAACUUUAUUUUGUUCCGUUCCAAGAAUUCUAACACAGUUUUAUACCCAUCUAGGAACAAUGAAAUAUUUUCAGAACUUUCCGUUGAUACGACAUGCUAUUUUUACCAUUCAUUCCCUUUCAGGAUCAUUCGCGGUCUUCCAAACUUUACCGAGAGUAUGGACGAAUCCCUCACUUCAUCCAUAUGUGUAAAAGACACUAGCCGCACUUAAAAGCCGAGUACUCUACCGUUGAGUUAGCAACCCGAAGAAAAUUAUGUAGAUCCAAUCCGAAGAAAAAGAAAUAACUAGAGUAGACAAGACAACCAGUAAAGAUAUUACUUUUUCAGAUUUGUUACAAUCACAGGAGGAGUCAUUAGAGGCACCAACAAAAUCAGAGGGAUCGUUUGGUAGAGUGUAUAAGAACAAUACAAAAUAGAGUGCAUUAGUAGUGCUUGCAUUAGUUAUGCCUGCAUUAUUUCUUAUACACUGUUUGGUUUGAUGUAUUAGAAAUAACAAAUCUGCAUAAUUUCUAUUAGAAAAAAUGUAUGUUUACAAAAAUACCCUUCCCACUUUAUUUCUUUGUACACUUCCUUUGCAACAAGG
rnacentral:lncRNA from 1 species